rnacentral:rRNA from 1 species
UACGUAGGGGGCUAGCGUUGUCCGGAAUCAUUGGGCGUAAAGCGCGUGUAGGCGGCCCGGUAAGUCCGCUGUGAAAGUCGGGGGCUCAACCCGUCGGAUGCCGGUGGAUACUGUCGGGCUCGAGUACGGAAGAGGCGAGUGGAAUUCCGUGGUGUAGCGGUGAAAUGCGCAGAGUAUCAGGAGGAACAGCCAAUUGCGAAGGCAGCUCGCUGGGACGUUACUGACGCUGAGACGCGAAAGCGUGGGAG